GUGCGCGUGCGCGCGCCGCCGCGGCCGCCACCGCCUGGGCCAGCCGGGUGUGCCCGGUGCCCCGGAGCGCGCAGUUUGCUAGGAACCGGAGGUGCAGAGCCCGGACGACCCCCGGUCACCGAACAGCGGUCGUCCUGCAGGCUUCCCGUGGAGGUGGUGCUGGAAUAGGGGCAGGGAACGCAGUCCUUUAGUAAGAGGAGAGGGACAGAGGUCCGGGAGUGGCUGGGACCCAAUCCUGAUGCCCUUCGUGAAACUCCAGUGCUGAAAAGUGCGUUCCUGCCCUUCACCUCGAAGUAUUCUUACCAAGAGACUUGAAAGAAGUAUCUUGCCCUUCCCCGCUGCGGUGGGACACUGCAAGAAGUCCACAUUGUAAGCGUCACACACAGCACAUGCAUUAAAGAAAAGUUGAAGGGGUGUGUGUCUUUUAAACUGGUAUAUAUUUUUGUUUCUUGCAAACCCAUGAGCACGUUAAAUUUUAUAUUUGCAAAAUGAUACUCUGAUUCAGAAUAAACACAGCUCAACUGUUUCCUACGUUGAGAGAGGAUUGACCCAAAACAGGGUGUAUCAGUUGGACAGACAUUCAACAAACAUCUGAGAGCCGGCCAGGUGUCCAGCUGUGUUAUCUUGUGGCACAGACACAAGCUAGGGCACACCCCACACAGCCGCUCUCUUUGCUGGCCUCAAGUGGGCGUCUCAUAGCUGCACCUGAAGCCUGUAUAAUCUGUGCAGAUUUUUCAAUUCCAAAACUGCCUAACAGUUUUGUUGUUGUUGCUGUUGUUGUUUUUGUCAUUCUGUAACUUCUGUCCUGAGCCCAGACGAAGCAAUAUGCAAAACAGACGUUCAACACAAGGUGCAGUGGCCACUCUGGCCGGAAAGUUGCAGAUCUCAGGGGAAGUAACACAGGACAAAUUAAGCAGCCAGUUUUAAGUUUCUCUGUCCUGUGGCCAAGUAGCAGUUUGGGGUUUUCCAUGCCAUUUGGUAGUUAGAUACACAAAGACAGACUUUCCUUCUGCAUCUAACGAUGUUCUCCAUCAGAAAAAAAGAAGGCUUUUACUUCUAGGGAGCCUUCUCUAUUUGUUAAUCAUUAAGUGGCCCCUUAGUAAUAGAAGAUCCUUACCAAAGACCUGCCUGCUAGCUGAUGAUCGAUGCUAACGAAAAAUAUAGCUUAAAACUGAUGUAUUUAAAGACUUUUGUUUUGGACAAGGUAGACAAUUAGUGGAAAUCUUAAACAUUUUAUUUAGGGCCUGACCUUGUGCAGUUUGCAAAACUCGUGAGGCUAUUUAUCGAAUGCCAUUACCUAAGUAGCCCCCUAAGGCAGGUAGGUGACAGUGUUCUGAUGAUCUCCCUUUGUACCGGAUUUUGCUCUAAACUCUCCAUGCAUUAUCUCAGUUAUUUAUCUUUACCUCUAUAGUACAGCUAUGGAACCUGAGGCUCCAGCACUAGCAACUGAUAGAAUAAGGACUGAACACAGGCUUUUACUUCCAGUGGUGGUCUUUUCUAUUGUAAUUUCUCUUGAUCAUAGAACAGUAUAUUAAAAUGUGGUGUUUAUUAAACUGGGGAUGCAAUUCUUGAGGACGUAAGAGUACAACUUUAUUAUAGCCAUUCCUCCCUUUGCUUUCUAGUCAAAGUAUAUACUUCAAUUUUAUUAAUUACUAAUACUUCUUGGUUUGACAGCUUAUUAUUUUCUUUCCAUUUGAUGCCAUAGCUUAUUUCUUCUUAUUAAAAAUAUUAGAAGUCAAAGAUCUCCAAGCUUUGGAGAUCCCACAGGAAAACUUGUAAUAUUAAAAAAAAAAAGCCAUCCAUGAAGAUGAAGAUAAAAAGCAUAAUUUAAAUAUUCAAAAAGGAAAGAAAGAAGGGUAAAAGAACAAAUAAAGGAGUAGAGGGGUACACAUAUCAAUUCAUAGGGUGUAAAACAGGGGACAGGUAGACUCUAGAUAUAGGCAGUUACGUGUUAGGAUUUGGGAGAUAAGUAAAAUCUGGAGAUAGAUUUUGUGGUGGUUUGAAAGAGAAUGGCCCCCGUGGGCUCAUAUAUUUGAAUGCUUAGUUCCCAGUUGGUGGAAAUGUUUGAGAAGGAUUAGUAAGUGUGAUGUUGUUAGAGGAAGUGUGCCACUGGGGGUGGGCAUUGAGGUUUCAAAAGCCCAUUCCCUACAUAUCUCUCUCUGUCUCCUGCUUAUGGAUCAGGAUGUCAGCUCUCAGCUGCUGCUUGUAACACAAAUGUUAAAAGGUUUUAUUAAUUAAAAAAAAAAAAAACAGAGCCUGAUAUUGGGGUAAAUGCUGAAAGAUCAUAGAGACAAAGGAACAGCCACAUCUUACCUCUUGGACUCCUCAGCCCCAAAAACCUCAGCCAAUAAGCCUCUAGCUGAAAAAUCUUACUCAGCUGAAAAGGCAUUAGUUCCUGUCUCCUUACACCUUAUAUACCUUUCUCCACCCACCACAUCACUUCCUUUUUAAUGCUGGAAUUAAAGGCAUGUGACUUCCCAACAAAUGCAUGGAUCUCAAGUAUUGGGAUUAAAGGUGUGUGCCACCACGGCCCGACUGUUUCUCUCCUAUACUGGAUCAAUCUCAUGUAGUCCAGUAUGGCUUUGAACUCACAGAGAUCCAAACAGAUCUCUGCCUCCUGAAUGCUAGGAUUAAAGGUGUGUGCCACCACUGUCUGUCUUCUAUAUUUAAUUUAGUGGCUUGUUCUGUCCUCUGAUCUUCAGGCAAAUGUUAUUUGGGUACGCAAUAUAUCACCACAGCUGCUCCUGUGCCAUGCCUGCCUACCUACCUACAGCCAUGCUCCCUGCCAUGAUGGUCAUAGACUCACCCUCUGAACUAGUGUCAUCUUCCUUCUUCCCAUCUGUAUAGUCUGGUGUUGAACAUUGCAGCAAACUUCCCCUGGACUAUGCCUGAAUAUCCAUUCUGAAUGCAUAAGAAGUAAGAAAGAGAGAGAGCAGAGGAAGUCCUGAGUGAGUGAAGACCUGAGUGACUGUGGUGUUAACAUGGGCACAGCCAUGUCAAGGACCCUAAUGCCUCAGCCUCAUGAGAGUGGCAAAGCCUUCCCCGGAUGAAGUUCAGAGGUAUGGCAGUCUUCCUUGUGUCCAUGUGUGGAUUUUGAUAGUUGUGUACAGAAUAUGUCCACUGUAGCUUUUCUCCCCCGCCCCAUCCCGGGAUGUUUACAGCCUGAAGACUGCUUUCCCACAGAGACUGCUUUUGUCUCCUUCAUCUUGUUGUAUACCAUAAACCCUGAUUGCUUGUCUAGUUGUCUGCAAUAACACCCUCAACCCUAUCCAAUGGUGUGUCAUAUAUUCAGCUGCCAGGGAACUACAACUUCUCUGUCAGAAAGCCCAGGUAAUCAGAUCCCAAGAUUUCUGUGUAUCCGUUUUUGUCUUUUCUUCUCACCCCUAGUCACAAUUACAAGACCCAAGCCAUACAGGGGCUUGGCAGGACAAGACGUUGAUGAAAAAUUACUUGGCUAAACCUGGGUUUGGUCUCUAUCAAGAUAAUGGUGCAUGACUAUAAUUCCAGCACUCCAAAGAUGGAGGCUUACAAGUUCAAGAUCACAUUUGUCUACAUAGGGAGCUUGAAGCCAAUAUGGGCAACACAAGAUCUUGUCUAUAUAAAUAAGUAAAUAAGUAGUUUUAUUUUUUAAGUGUUAAUAUCAAGUAAUGUGGGGGCACUGAAACCAGAAACAAGCCACUGUGAGAAGAUAACUAAAGAAAACGUCUAGGAGAGAGGAUGAGUGCUCAAAUUUAAGAGGAAAGGAGAAGGAAAGCUUACAAGGCAACAAAAGAUGAUCAUCAAAUUAAUAAAGUAACACAAGAUUCCCCCCACCAAAAAAAAAAAAAUCAAAAAGCAUGUGUUUUUCUAGCAUGUAGAUUUCAGACUGUGUAAAAAAAAAAAUGACUUAAAAGCAGAGGGGAUGCUAUUUGGGAAAAGAAACAGGACCAGUGGGACGGGAUAAAGAGGCAGAUAAAGUAAUGGGGAGUGAAUUAGAUGACAGAGUAUGAUUUACGUGUAGGAGAACAUCGUGAUGAGACCCAUUGUAAUGUACAAAGAAUCUACACUAAUUGAACUGGCAAAGAGAGACACAGAGAAAUCAAUGGACCACUUAUGGGGCACUCAAGAACAGGAGGACCACGAAUAGAAUACACAUCCCAGAACAGAGUAACUCCAUUAAUAGUAGACACUGAAAUAUGGACUUUCAGAAGACUAGUAAAAUUGGAGAACCAUCAACUCUUUGAGUGUUUUAUGUUGCAUAUCAGAGAAAUUGUAGACAUAGUUACAAAUGUAAACUACUAAGUCCAGACAGGGAAAUCAUCAGCAUGUGAGUGGUAGUUGAAGUCACAGAUGUGCACAAUAAGGUCCAGCAGGAAUGAGUUCAGGAAAUGAGGGCUGAAGAUGUGAAUUUUCUCAGAUGUCCUCUCCUUAAGGAAUGGGGGGGG